rnacentral:lncRNA from 1 species
UGACAGCAGGAUGGUUUGGCUGACCUCACAGAAAACAAUGCAACAAAAGGGAAAUCAUCAGAGUUCUUGUCCAGGAAACCAGCAGAUGCUGAGAAUAAAGGAGGCAGAGCUGCAAGUCAGGCCUGUUCUGUUGCCCCAAGCUGAGCUAAUCAAUGUGGGGCUUGUACACCCAUGCUCCAGUGUCCAGAAAUAUUUCUGGAAUAAGCACUCUAACAUCUAUGUGUUUGGAAUUGAAGUGAUGUCACUGAUGAGUAAAAGUCAGGAGAGUUCCUCGGGGAUUUGAUGACUGGGUCUGGUUUGUAUUCUAAUUUUAUACUCUAAAAUCUCAAGGAUAGGUGGGCAACCAAGCAACACUCUACAGAAGUCUAUUUGGGAUCUAGCAGCUU